GUCUUUCACAUAAAAUAGAAGGUUAGCACUUCCCUUGACAAGGAUGGAAUCAGCCCUUGUGGCCGUCAACACACAAAUGGUUAAGACAUAAAAUUCCAAUAAAUUAUAUUUAUUU
rnacentral:ncRNA from 1 species